UACGGGGGGGGGCAAGCGUUGUUCGGAAUUACUGGGCGUAAAGGGCGCGUAGGCGGCCUGCUAAGUCGAACGUGAAAUCCCUGGGCUCAACCCAGGAACUGCGUCCGAUACUGGUUGGCUUGAAUCCGGGAGAGGGACGUGGAAUUCCAGGUGUAGCGGUGAAAUGCGUAGAUAUCUGGAGGAACACCGGUGGCGAAGGCGACAUCCUGGACCGGUAUUGACGCUGAGGCGCGAAAGCUAGGGGAGCAAACGGG
rnacentral:rRNA from 1 species